rnacentral:rRNA from 1 species
AACGAACGCUGGCGGCAGGCCUGACACAUGCAAGUCGAGCGAGGACUUCGGUCCUAGCGGCGGACGGGUGAGUAACGCAUGGGAACGUGCCCUUUGCUACGGAAUAGCCCCGGGAAACUGGGAGUAAUACCGUAUGUGCCCGAGAGGGGAAAGAUUUAUCGGCAAAGGAUCGGCCCGCGUUGGAUUAGGUAGUUGGUGGGGUAAUGGCCUACCAAGCCGACGAUCCAUAGCUGGUUUGAGAGGAUGAUCAGCCACACUGGGACUGAGACACGGCCCAGACUCCUACGGGAGGCAGCAGUGGGGAAUCUUAGACAAUGGGGGAAACCCUGAUCUAGCCAUGCCGCGUGAGCGAUGAAGGCCUUAGGGUUGUAAAGCUCUUUCAGUGGGGAAGAUAAUGACGGUACCCACAGAAGAAGCCCCGGCUAACUCCGUGCCAGCCGCCGCCGUAACAC